AUUGAACGCUGGCGGCAGGCCUAACACAUGCAAGUCGAGCGGCAGCACGGGAAGCUUGCUUCCUGGUGGCGAGCGGCGGACGGGUGAGUAAUGCAUAGGAAUCUGCCCGAUAGUGGGGGAUAACCUGGGGAAACCCAGGCUAAUACCGCAUACGUCCUACGGGAGAAAGCAGGGGCUCUUCGGACCUUGCGCUAUCGGAUGAGCCUAUGUCGGAUUAGCUGGUUGGUGAGGUAAUGGCUCACCAAGGCGACGAUCCGUAGCUGGUCUGAGAGGAUGAUCAGCCACAUCGGGACUGAGACACGGCCCGAACUCCUACGGGAGGCAGCAGUGGGGAAUAUUGGACAAUGGGCGCAAGCCUGAUCCAGCCAUGCCGCGUGUGUGAAGAAGGCCCUCGGGUUGUAAAGCACUUUCAGUGGGGAAGAAAGCCUUGGGGCUAAUACCCUCGAGGAAGGACAUCACCCACAGAAGAAGCACCGGCUAACUCCGUGCCAGCAGCCGCGGUAAUACGGAGGGUGCGAGCGUUAAUCGGAAUUACUGGGCGUAAAGCGCGCGUAGGUGGCUUGAUAAGCCGGUUGUGAAAGCCCCGGGCUCAACCUGGGAACGGCAUCCGGAACUGUCAGGCUAGAGUGCAGGAGAGGAAGGUAGAAUUCCCGGUGUAGCGGUGAAAUGCGUAGAGAUCGGGAGGAAUACCAGUGGCGAAGGCGGCCUUCUGGACUGACACUGACACUGAGGUGCGAAAGCGUGGGUAGCAAACAGGAUUAGAUACCCUGGUAGUCCACGCCGUAAACGAUGUCGACUAGCCGUUGGGAGCCUCGAGUUCUUAGUGGCGCAGUUAACGCGAUAAGUCGACCGCCUGGGGAGUACGGCCGCAAGGUUAAAACUCAAAUGAAUUGACGGGGGCCCGCACAAGCGGUGGAGCAUGUGGUUUAAUUCGAUGCAACGCGAAGAACCUUACCUACCCUUGACAUCGUGCGAACUUGGUAGAGAUACCUUGGUGCCUUCGGGAACGCACAGACAGGUGCUGCAUGGCUGUCGUCAGCUCGUGUUGUGAAAUGUUGGGUUAAGUCCCGUAACGAGCGCAACCCUUGUCCCUAUUUGCCAGCGAUUCGGUCGGGAACUCUAGGGAGACUGCCGGUGACAAACCGGAGGAAGGUGGGGACGACGUCAAGUCAUCAUGGCCCUUACGGGUAGGGCUACACACGUGCUACAAUGGUCGGUACAAAGGGUUGCAAAGCGGCGACGUGGAGCUAAUCCCAUAAAGCUGAUCUCAGUCCGGAUCGGAGUCUGCAACUCGACUCCGUGAAGUCGGAAUCGCUAGUAAUCGUGAAUCAGAAUGUCACGGUGAAUACGUUCCCGGGCCUUGUACACACCGCCCGUCACACCAUGGGAGUGGACUGCACCAGAAGUGGUUAGCCUAACUUCGGAGGGCGAUCACCACGGUGUGGUUCAUGACUGGGGUGAAGUCGUAACAAGGUAGCCGUAGGGGAACC
rnacentral:rRNA from 1 species